UACGUAGGGGGCAAGCGUUGUCCGGAUUGACUGGGCGUAAAGCGCACGCAGGCGGAUGCGCGCGUGGGGUGUGAAAUCUGGCCGCUUAACGGCCAGGCGCCAUCCCAUACGGCGCGUCUGGAGUGAUGCAGAGGUCGAUGGAAUUGCCGGUGUAGUGGUGAAAUGCGUAGAGAUCGGCAGGAACACCCAGGGGGAAACCAGUCGACUGGGCAUCUACUGACGCUGAGGUGCGAGAGCGUGGGGAGCGAACCGG
rnacentral:rRNA from 1 species